rnacentral:lncRNA from 13 species
CAAUUACGAGGCUGGACUGGGUCCUGGAUCAGGUUGGUUCUGAUAACUCACUGGAUUGGACUCAGCUGCAGGCCUCAGGCAGCACCUUUUUGAUGUUGGGUUUUUGCAGCUCAAGGAGUCUGGGCAGGCCGAGAUUGGCAGAACUAACAGAAUCAACCGGUGCUUUGGCCAAAGGCAUUACCAACUGAUGGACAGCAGACCCACUCCCACCGGAAAACAGAACGACCCCUUAUAAAAUAGCUAUCGGAAGGCCUAUACGUCUAAUAAUAGAACUUCACCUGUCUCCUCCCUCCUAAACUCUGACUAAAUAUUGCAAGACUCUAACGCAUUGUGACAAAGCAUACUUUCACCGUUGACGCCGGCAAUCAAACCUUUCAGAAUCGGCAACCUGGAGCUUAGGUCUCCUGGAGCUGCACCAGAGAGAGACUGCCCCUGAACCCCCUUGGAAGAGACCAAGUUCUUCUCACCACCACACUGCAGUAGAACUUUGAGGCCUCAAAAUUUGGGUUCACAUGUCAUAACUCAAAAGGGCCCCUCCAGGCUCCCGGAACUGUAUGUGUUGGAGACCUCAGCGGUCUCUUUCUUUAGAUGCAGAUGGGACCCUGGAGGGGGACAUGAGACAUCAAUCAAGAUGAUGAACAUUGGUUCAGUCUGGAAAGGCGGGACAACUCGAAGCAAAGGCGGGAGACUCCCAGGUCAAAGGUAGACAGGAGGCAAACAGUGGCGUUCUUCUGAGUUUCUGAUUAGCCUCUCCAAAGCAGGCAAUCAGGUACGCAUUUAUCUCCGUGAGCAGAGGGGCGACUUUGAGCAGAAUGGGAGGCAGGUUGGCCCUAAGCAGUUCCCAGCUUCAGUCUUCCCUUUAGCUUAGUGAUUUGGGGGCCCCAAGGUUUCUUUCUUUCUUUCUUUUUUUUGAGAUGGAGUUUUGCUCUUGUUGCCUCUGAUGGGCACAAUUCCAUCCUCUUUUACUGUAUACUUUUCCUCCUCAAACUUCUUUUUAACAUGUCUUGGCUUAGCUGUUCUGCCUGAGACUCAACGAAAAAGCUCCUCUUUCUUCCUUCUGUUUUUUUUUUUUUAACUCUUUUUCUCUCUCUCCUGAGGAGGGAACUGUGGGAAGUAAAAAAGUUCCUCUGCAAGGUUUCCUUUCUUGUUAAAGAAUAAAUUUGCGGCCAGGUGCA